UGGCGGCACGCCUAACACAUGCAAGUCGAACGCAGUAGCAAUACUGAGUGGCAGACGGGUGAGUAUAAUGUGGGAAUCUGCCUUUUGGUUCGGAAUAACAAGAGGAAACUUUUGCUAAUACCGGAUAAGCCUUUACAGGGAAAGUUUUAAUGCCAAAAGAUGAGCCCGCACUUGAUUAGCUAGUUGGUAAGGUAAUGGCUUACCAAGGCAACGAUCAAUAGCUGUUCUUAGAAGAAGGCCAGCCACAUUGGGGACUGAGACACGGCCCCGAACUCC
rnacentral:rRNA from 1 species